UGAGGAAUCUGUCCAUCGGCGGGGGAUAGCCGGCCCAACGGCCGGGUAAUACCGCGUACGACCUUUCGGGGACAUCCCCGGAUGGUGAAAGCAGCAAUGCGCCGAUGGAGUGCCUCGCGGCCUAUCAGCUAGUUGGUGGGGUAACGCUCACCAAGGCAACGAUGGGUAGCUGGUCUGAGAGGAUGGCCAGCCACAGUUGGGACUGAGACACCGGCCCAGACCUCCGUACGGGAGCAG
rnacentral:rRNA from 1 species